rnacentral:rRNA from 1 species
ACCCCAGCUCAGGCGAGGGUACCC